rnacentral:lncRNA from 1 species
CCCGCUCACCCACCCCUCUCCCACACACCUCCCCUUUCCUUUCGUUCCUUCCCCCGCCUCCACUGCCCAGGUUAAAAGCCCAGCGCGGCAUAGUCCAGCCCCAAAUUUGCUCCUGUGGUUUUCUCCACCCCCUCCGCACCUAGAUCGCUCCUUCCUUCUGGCCUCCUUCCCUCCCUCCUGCCCCGAGCCUCCCUUUCCCGAUUCUGAUUCCCAGCCUUCCCGUGUCCCGCGGUCCUGUCGUGCGGUUCUUCCAGAUUUGUGUCCCUACCGUCCAGCCCCAGCCCUCCCACAGGUGGGAGACAAUCGUAGCGUUCUCCAGGUCCCGUCCACGACACUCGAGGAUAGGAGCACCGGCUCGAGCAGAACCAGCCCCCGCUGGAGCCUCAGGGACUCUCCUACGCACCAGGUUCUUCAGGACCCAGGACUUGGGACCCGCAGCCGCCCUCUUCCCGGAGUCUUCUUCCUCCUCUUUCCUGAGAUCCUAACCUGGUUCGUGUUACAUUUGCAAGGUGCAUUUUGAAAAGGGAAUGAAAAUAUGCCCCUCCUGUAUCAAAAUACAGCCUUAGAGAGCUGGAAAGUUCUGCGGCAAUGUCUGAUGCGCUUCCUCUGAGCUUCCUUUGCGUGUCAGAGGGAAGAACCAAGCUUUGUUAAUUUCAGGCGUAGGUGAACUCCAAGUGUGGCAAAGACGCCUUAUAAGUCGUAUUUGCAUAUUUUUAAAAAAAAUCUGCAAAAGGUAAGAGGAGAUAUUUCUUUGCCCAUUACUUGCCCAGGAUUUGUUCGUGGUCUGUCGCAAGUACUUCAGCAGAGCUGUGUUUUUUAGGCGGCUUUGUGUGUCUUAGAGACAAUGACAAGCGGACAGUGUGUAAACUAACCCGCCCUCCUAUAGAUUUCCUAGUCUUGGCCUGCAAAACAUCUUAACUAAUACACUGAAAGGAAUUCAGUCUUUGAAGCAAAGUAGUGUGUUCACUUUGACCUGACUGGGGGGGGGGGGGGGGGAAAAAAAAAAAAAAAAAGCUGUCUUGAACUCUCUGAGGGCAUUUAGGCUUUCCUGGGCAGGCAGUCAUCUGGGUGCCUUCUUUCCAAGUUUUCAGUGUGAGGACUGUGUGCCUGGCUGCUG